UACGAAGGGUGCAAGCGUUACUCGGAAUUACUGGGCGUAAAGCGUGCGUAGGUGGUUGUUUAAGUCUGUUGUGAAAGCCCCGGGCUCAACCUGGGAAUGGCGAUGGAUACUGGCUCGCUAGAGUGCGGUAGAGGAGAGUGGAAUUCCCGGUGUAGCAGUGAAAUGCGUAGAGAUCGGGAGGAACAUCAGUUGCGAAGGCGGCUCUCUGGACCAGCACUGACACUGAGGCACGAAAGCGUGGGGAGCAAACAGG
rnacentral:rRNA from 1 species